rnacentral:rRNA from 1 species
AUACGGAGGAUGCAAGCGUUAUCCGGAUUUAUUGGGUUUAAAGGGUGCGUAGGCGGUUUGCUAAGCGGGAGGUGAAAUGCCGGCGCUCAACGUCGGAAGUGCCUCCCGAACUGGUGGACUUGCAUGACUCUGCCGUGGAAGGAAUGUGUAGUGUAGCGGAGAAAUGCGUAGAGAUUACACAGAACACCGAUUGCGAAGGCAGCGCACGAAGGGUUGAUUGACGCUGAGGCUCGAAAGCGUGGGGAUCAAACAGGAUUAGAUGCCAUGGUAGUCCACGCAGUAAACGAUGAUGGCUAACCGCUGGGCUUAUCAGUGCAGUGGCCAAGCGAAAGCGAUAAGCCAUCCAGCUGGGGAGUACGAUCUCAAGGUUGAAGCUCAAAGGAAUUGAGGGUG